AUGAAGGAGGAGACUGAUGCUAGCUUUCCAUUAACUGCAGCUCCUAUCAACAAUGUUAAGCAGAAGCUGAUUGUUAAAGAAGAAGCUUCUUUAGACCACAGACCUCCUGCUGACCCGCAUGACCCAACGCACCCCCACAUAAAGGAGGAGAAGAAGGGAGUCUACAUCAGUCUGCCAGGAGAGCAGCUCAAUGGGAAGGAGCUUUAUCCAGACCAAAUUAAAGGCAAAGAGCUUCCAGAAGAGAAUGAUAGAGAAGAAUACAUCAGGAUACCAGAUCAUGGACAUGCUUCCAUUUCUUUAGAGACUGAAGAGGACAGUGAUGUAGAGCACUCUCUCUCUGACCUGAAACACUCUGGAUAUAAGAAAUGUUCUAUGGUAAACAAAAAUGUGGACACAAGAAGAAAAGUCCAGACAGGACUGAAGCAUAGCUGUGAAGACUGUGAUAAAAUACUGAUUGGAAAAUCAGCUUUAAACAAACACAUGAGAAUCCACACAGGAGAGAAGCCUUUCUGCUGUGAACUAUGUGGACAUAGAUUUAGCCAAAAAUCUUAUUUAAACACACA